rnacentral:rRNA from 1 species
AUUGAACGCUGGCGGCAGGCUUAACACAUGCAAGUCGAGCGGGGGAAGGUAGCUUGCUACCGGACCUAGCGGCGGACGGGUGAGUAAUGCUUAGGAAUCUGCCUAUUAGUGGGGGACAACAUCUCGAACGGGAUGCUAAUACCGCAUACGUCCUACGGGAGAAAGCAGGGGAUCUUCGGACCUUGCGCUGAUAGAUGAGCCUAAGUGGGAUUAGCGAGUUGGUGGGGUAAAGGCCUACCAAGGCGACGAUCUGUAGCGGGUCUGAGAGGAUGAUCCGCCACACUGGGACUGAGACACGGCCCAGACUCCUACGGGAGGCAGCAGUGGGGAAUAUUGGACAAUGGGGGGAACCCUUAUCCAGCCAUGCCGCGUGUGUGAAGAAGGCCUUAUGGUUGUAAAGCACUUUAAGCGAGGAGGAGGCUACUUUAGUUAAUACCUAGAGAUAGUGGACGUUACUCGCAGAAUAAGCACCGGCUAACUCUGUGCCAGCCGCCGCAGUAA